CCUACGGGAGACAGCAGUGGGGGAUAUUGCACAAUGGGGGGAACCCUGAUGCAGCGACGCCGCGUGGGUGAAGAAGCGCCUCGGCGCGUAAAGCCCUGUCAGCAGGGAAGAAAAUGCCGGUACCUGAAGAAGAAGCCCCGCCUAACUACGUGCCAGCAGCCGCGGUAAUCCGAAGGGGGCAAGCGUUAGCCGGAUUUACUGGGUGUAAAGGGGGCGCAGACGGGGAUGCAAGCCAGGAGUGAAAGCCCGGGGCCAAACCCCGGGACUGCUCUUGGAACUGCGUGGCUGGAGUGCAGGAGGGGCAGGCGGAAGUCCUGGUGUAGCGGUGAAAUGCGUAGAUAUCAGGAGGAACACCGGUGGCGAAGGCGGCCUGCUGGACUGCAACUGACGUUGAGGCCCGAAAGCGUGGGGAGCAAACAGGAUUAGAUACCCGGGUAGUC
rnacentral:rRNA from 1 species